UCAUAUUUAAUUCCAUUUUUCAUAUAUUUAUUAUCGACUCAUGCAUUGCCACCCAAAGGGAUGUUGGAUUGGUAAAAAGUCUUCAAUUCCAUAACCCAACGAAUAGGAAUGAGUUUUGUUGUAAUUGAAUGAGUAAUUCCGUAGGCAUAUAAAAUUUUUGUAGUUUUUCAUCCAAUGAUGGUUAAUGUCCUAAAAUGAUAAAAUGAUAUGGGAAAAUGGAUGGACGGCGUGGAUAAACCACAUGUAUGUGGCCCAUGCAACUCUUCGACUUCCAAUUGCAACAUCGCACCUUUCAUUCUUAUCGAAAAAGUCAAAUAAAGAUUUCUCUCAUAACUCCCUCCCUCCUUUGCGCGCCAGUCUGCAAAACCCUUUGCAAUAUAAAAAAAAGAAAAGAAAAAAAAAAGAAAGAAAAAAAAAGAGAAGCAAGCAAAGAUGGAAACGACGACAACGCCAGAGCUCCCGACGUGGACGAUAGUUUCGGAUGGCGGAAAACACUUAGAGUGGAGCUUUUCCGGCAGAGUUCCCUAUGGCACCUCAGCCCAAACCCCCCCUCAAAAUCUCAUCAAUUCCCUCCCUUCCAUGUCUAAUUUUGUGCUCCAAGAAUCUUCAAAGAUUAUUGGAGAUGUUGGGAGUGAUGAAAGGGACGUUCCGAUGUUCCGCACUGGAUGGGGAAAGUCCGUCACGGUGAAACAGUCUUCUAUUAGAAAAGCAUUGUCGGUUCUUGGAGAAGGAGAGAUCUUGGAGAGAGGAUCUUCUAAGAUUAUUGGAGAAAGCAUUGUUGAUGACAUUCCAAUCUUCAGAACUGGAUCAGGAAAAUCUGUUGCGGUGAAACAGUCUUCUAUUAGAAUGGCAUUGUCUGUUCUCGGAGGUGGAAAGAUUUUGCAGGGUGACCAAGUGCAUAAUGCUGCAGACCAUCAAUGCCACUCCUCAAAUUCACUUUUCCAGACAAGCUCUGGGAAAAUGGUAAACAUAUCGUCUGCUGGUCUCAUCAGAGCUAAGACAUUGUUGGGGUUGGAGGAGAACUACAACCCUCUUACUUCUCAAGGUCCCAGAGACACAAAGAAACAAUCAGGUACUAAUGGAUUGAGUGGAUGGGGAAAGUCGCAGUGUGUGGAGAAGAAUGCGAGUGCAAUUCUUGGAACUGCCAACAUUCAUAGUAGUGGGACCUUAGAUGCUAGUUCAUUUCCAAAAUGUCCGAUUAGCUGUCCAAGGGAUAAAUAUUCAUCUGGAAUUGGAAACCAAUCAAAGAAGGAUGUACUUGCGAAUCUUCUCAAUUCUGACACGUGCAGAUCUUCUUCAGAACAGCCUCCAGUUAAGUUCCAAACGGCAGGUGGAAGAUCUAUAUCAGUUUCUAGUGAUGCAUUGCAGCGUGCAAGGAACCUUCUUGGUGAAUCAGACUCGGGGAUAUCACCAAAUGAAGAUGAUACUUAUGAUCCACUGUUUUUGUUGCCUAGAGAAGAGAAAACUAGCAAUGACAAUUCACUGAACAAAGAGGAUGUUUCUCAUGCUUCCUUUUUGUACCAAAAUGCUACGAUGAACCAAUAUUGGGGGAACAGAUUCCCAUCCCAUAAAGGGUCAAUGUUCAACCAGAAGCAGUCAUCCUAUCUUCUGGAGGCUACUGAUUCUAGGGAUGGCAUCCUGAAACAUGUUGAUGCAAAUGGCUUGGCAUCUGAGGGCAUCUCCAGGUCAAACAGCAAUAGAGGUUAUAUGAAAAGGCCUCCUAGUGAUGACCUCUAUGCAACUCAAAUGUUAGUUGGAAAUUCUUCAGCAAAAGAUCUUGCUUCACAAACAAUUCCGGCUACAGUGCCAUCAGGUAAGCCACUGGUUGAAAUUUCAAACAGCAAGGAGACAACUUGUGCAAAUCAGAAGAGAAUUACUAGUGAAAAAAGGAGACUUGUGAAGAAAAGCUUUACUUCUCCAUUCAAAAGGCCCCGUAGUUCUAUAUUCUCCACCCCUUUGAAAAGUAGCAUGUCAUUCCCUUGCACUGGUUCAUCCGCAUUACCGACACUCGAAGGUUCCCGUUGCAAAAGAAGGGUUUCCACUCGAUAUCCGUUUCAGGUUAAGAGGCAUACUGUGAAGGAAUUUUUUGGAGGGCCACCAUGUAAAACUGACUCUCUGACCCAUUUAUCGAAUGAGAUAAAGUACAUGAAUGCGGAUAGUGCAGAAAAGUACAUAUUCCAUGCUGCAUCUGGCUUGGAUGGGAUUGGAGCAGAAGCCCUUCGGAACAUGUUGGCCCAGUGUGGAGCUUCCUUGCUACAUGCCACUAAAGAGUGGGUUGCAAACCAUUACAAAUGGAUUGUAUGGAAACUUGCAUGCCUUGAGAGAGGCUAUCCAGCUCAUGCUAGUGGCAAAUUCUUGACAGUGCCCAAUGUGCUUGAGGAAUUAAAAUGCAGGUACGAGAGAGAAGUAAAUCAUGGUCAUAGGUCUGCAGUUAAGAGAAUUUUGGAAGGCGAUGCAUCACCUGCUUCAAUGGUAGUUCUAUGCAUUUCAGCUAUUUGCUCCUACCCUGAUUCAGACCCUGAGAUAGCGGAAUGCCCUUUGGCACCAUAUGAAUAUCCUAAGAAGAUAACUGGCUGGAGUGGAGGUGGAGCUGAAAAUAAUCAUGUUGCAAAAAUAGAACUAACUGAUGGUUGGUAUUCAUUUGAUGCCCUUUUGGAUGCACCACUUACUAAGCAACUUGUUGCUGGAAAAUUGUUUGUGGGCCAGAAACUUCGGAUUUGGGGAGCAGGCUUAUGUGGCUGGGUUGCACCGGUUUCACCCCUAGAGUCAUCCAAGACAAUCAGUUUGGUUAUGCACAUAAAUGGGACAUAUCGAGCACAUUGGGCUGACCGGUUGGGAUUCUGUAAGAGCAUUGGUGCGCCAUUGGCUUUUAGGUGCAUCAAGUGUGCAGGGGGUCCAGUUCCCAGGACAUUGGUUGGGGUGACACGAAUUUAUCCUAUUCUAUACAAGGAGAGGUUAGCUAAUGGAGGUUUUGUGGUAAGAUCAGAAAGAAUGGAAGCUAGAAUGAUGCAACUAUACAACCAGAGGUGCUCUACUAUUGCAGAGGGCAUUAUGUCUCAAACUCAGGACAUAUUUGGUUCCCAUAGUAACGACGAUAGUGAUAGUGAAGGGGCAAAAAUCUUUAAGCUCCUUGAGACAGCUGCUGAGCCUGAAGUCCUAAUGGCAGAUAUGAGUUUGGAGCAACUGACUUCAUUUGCAACUUAUCAGGCAAAGCGGGAGGCAAUCAGGCAGUCAGAUAUGCAGAAGAAUGUAGAGAAAGCCCUGAAUGAUGCAGGCCUUGGUGGGAGACAGGUCACCCCCUUAAUGAGAGUAAGGGUGGUGGGCCUAACUGCUAAAUGUUCCCAAAUAAAAGGUUGUCCUAGAGAAGGCUUGAUAACAAUAUGGAACCCAACUGAAAAGCAGCAGGUCAGUCUGGUGGAGGGGCAGAUAUACUGCACUGGAGGACUAGUGCCACUGUACUCUCAUUCUAAUAUCAUCCACUUCCAAGCAAGAGGGUCUACUACAACUUGGCAACACUUACCAUCAUCAGCAGUUGAAUGUUUCAAACCAUUUUUUAAUCCUCGCAAACCAAUAUUAUUGUCAAAUUUGUGUGAAGUUCCUCUAGCCAGUGAAUUUGAUACAGCAGCUGUAAUUGUGUAUGUGGGGGAUGUUUAUUUAUCCGGAAACCAAAAGAAGCAGUGGGUGUUUGUGACAGACGGGUCUGAAUCAGGGUCUGAGUUACAGUCAGAGGGACAUUCCAUCUGUUUACUCGCUAUCUGCUUCUGCUCAUCCAUCACCGAAAAUGAUGCAUUCACACCGGUUGACCACUCUAUAUUAGGAUCCACUGCUGGCUUUUGUAAUCUGGUCAAGCAAGCAAGGGACCCAAUGAAUGAUCUUUGGGUAGCUGAGGCAACAGAAAAUUCUACCUAUUCCAUCAGUUAUGACCUUCGAGGUUUUUCUCACCUCAAGGACGCUGUAGAUACAACUCGCAAAUGGACAAAGAUGUCUUCUUUGACCAUUCAAAAGCUUAAGGAGAGGGUUCUAUGUAUUGUUGCGGGUCAUGAAAGCUAGGAUGCUAAAGGACCUAUCCAUUGACAAGUUACUGAAGAGGCGACUUGCAGCACAGGCAUAUACAGGACCUGGGCUACUCAUCGUCUGGGUACCACCAUAUUGCAUGUCCUGGCCCAAAAAUCAAGGUUCACUAAUCAGUGCCAAAGCCUGUCUCAGCAAACAAGAGCCUGCCAAACCUCUCGCCCUCAUUCAUGCUGGGAAUGGAGAUGUUUAUAUACACCAAAACUGUGUAAUGCUCAACCCGGGUUCGUUUUGUUGCGUGUAA